rnacentral:rRNA from 1 species
CUACCAUGGGUUUACGGGUAACGGAGGAUUAGGGUUCGAUUCCGGAGAGGGAGCCUGAGAAACGGCUACCACAUCUAAGGAAGGCAGCAGGCGCGUAAAUUACCCGAUCCUGACUCAGGGAGGUAGUGACAAGAAAUAACGGACCGGGGUCCCUCGUGGGCUUCGGGAUUGCAAUGAGCCGAAUUUACACCCCUUAGCGAGAAUCGAUUGGAGGGCAAGUCUGGUGCCAGCAGCCGCGGUAAUUCCAGCUCCAAUAGCGUAUAUUAAAGUUGUUGCAGUUAAAAAGCUCGUAGUUGGAUUUCUGGAGGGGUGCCAAUGUCCGCCAAAACGCGUGCGCAGCGGCGCCCUUCCAUCCUUCUGUUAACGCCUCUUGGCAUUCACUUGCUGGUGGCGGGCUCAGAUAUUUUACCUUGAGAAAAUUAGAGUGUUUCAGGCAGGCUAGGCCGGAAUACAUUAGCAUGGAAUAAUGGAAUAGGACUACGGUCUCUUUGUUGGUUUGAGGGACUGCAGUAAUGAUUAAUAGAGAUAGUUGGGGGCAUUAGUAUUUAAUUGUCAGAGGUGGAAUUCUCAGAUUUGUUAAAGACUAACUUAUGCGAAAGCAUUUGCCAAGGAUGUUUUCGUUAAUCAA